rnacentral:rRNA from 1 species
UACGAAGGGGGCUAGCGUUGCUCGGAAUCACUGGCGUAAAGCGCACGUAGGCGGAUCUUUAAGUCAGGGGUGAAAUCCUGGAGCUCAACUCCAGAACUGCCUUUGAUACUGGGGAUCUCGAGUCCGGAAGAGGUGAGUGGAACUCCGAGUGUAGAGGUGAAAUUCGUAGAUAUUCGGAAGAACACCAGUGGCGAAGGCGGCUCACUGGUCCGGUACUGACGCUGAGGUGCGAAAGCGUGGGGAGCAAACAGGG